rnacentral:lncRNA from 1 species
CACACAUUUAAAACUUGACGGUGACACCGUCAAGUUUUAAAUGUGUCUAAUGUAAUUUAAUUUUGUUUUAAUCUUUAAUGAGGUCUUAAAUUAUUGAUGUUAUUGCAUUUGUCUAUCGGUUGUCCUUAAUUUGCACACAGCAACAGUUAAAAUAAAAAUAAGAAUGGUUAUGAAUAAAGGAGGAAUAAAGGUAAAACAAUUAGACUGCCAAAAUCAUCCGUGAGCUAAUAUAAAAAAAAAGGGCAUUGAAAAUUUGGCGGGAAAUCAUUCUCUCUAUAUUUUUCAUACAUUUAACAUUUGCACCUUUUUUCUUACAAAAACUUUUAAAAAAAUAACAAGGAUUUUAUUAGAUUUUUAAAUAGAACUUUGUGUAAUAACAUUAUGAAAAUAUAUAAAAGUAGGGGUUAGCGGGCAAAAUAUUUUGGGAAAGUACAUAAAAAAAACCCAGAGGAUUCCGAAUAUCUUGCAAAAAUCCUAAAAACAACAUGAAUAAACAUCCUAAGACGCUUAAAAAACGUUUUACUCACUUACAAACGAUUUUUAUGAAUUAAUGUAUAAAUACGAAUAAGCAUAGAGUAUUACAUGGUAUUCAUUUGUUCCGC